UACGUAGGUGGCAAGCGUUGUCCGGAUUUACUGGGCGUAAAGGGUGCGUAGGCGGAUGUUUAAGUGAGAUGUGAAAUACCCGAGCUCAACUUGGGUGCUGCAUUUCAAACUGGAUAUCUAGAGUGCAGGAGAGGAAAGCGGAAUUCCUAGUGUAGCGGUGAAAUGCGUAGAGAUUAGGAAGAACACCAGUGGCGAAGGCGGCUUUCUGGACUGUAACUGACGCUGAGGCAUGAAAGCGUGGGGAGCAAACAGG
rnacentral:rRNA from 1 species